AGUGAACGCUGGCGGUAGGCCUAACACAUGCAAGUCGAACGGCAGCACAGAGGAGCUUGCUCCUUGGGUGGCGAGUGGCGGACGGGUGAGGAAUACAUCGGAAUCUACUCUGUCGUGGGGGAUAACGUAGGGAAACUUACGCUAAUACCGCAUACGACCUACGGGUGAAAGCAGGGGACCUUCGGACCUUGCGCGAUUGAAUGAGCCGAUGUCGGAUUCGCUAGUUGGCGGGGUAAAGGCCCACCAAGGCGACGAUCCGUAGCUGGUCUGAGAGGAUGAUCAGCCACACUGGAACUGAGACACGGUCCAGACUCCUACGGGAGGCAGCAGUGGGGAAUAUUGGACAAUGGGCGCAAGCCUGAUCCAGCCGUACCGCGUGGGUGAAGAAGGCCUUCGGGUUGUAAAGCCCUUUUGUUGGGAAAGAAAUCCAGCUGGCUAAUACCCGGUUGGGAUGACGGUACCCAAAGAAUAAGCACCGGCUAACUUCGUGCCAGCCGCCGCCGUAA
rnacentral:rRNA from 1 species